AUUGAACGCUGGCGGCAGGCCUAACACAUGCAAGUCGAGCGGAUGAGAGGAGCUUGCUUCUCGAUUCAGCGGCGGACGGGUGAGUAAUGCCUAGGAAUCUGCCUGGUAGUGGGGGACAACGUUUCGAAAGGAACGCUAAUACCGCAUACGUCCUACGGGAGAAAGCAGGGGACCUUCGGGCCUUGCGCUAUCAGAUGAGCCUAGGUCGGAUUAGCUAGUUGGUGGGGUAAUGGCUCACCAAGGCGACGAUCCGUAACUGGUCUGAGAGGAUGAUCAGGCACACGGGAACUGAGACACGGUCCAGACUCCUACGGGAGGCAGCAAUGGGGAAUAUUGGACAAUGGGCGAAAGCCUGAUCCAGCCAUGCCGCGUGUGUGAAGAAGGUCUUCGGAUUGUAAAGCACUUUAAGUUGGGAGGAAGGGUUGUAGAUUAAUACUCUGCAAUUUUGACGUUACCGACAGAAUAAGCACCGGCUAACUCUGUGCCAGCCGCCGCGGUAA
rnacentral:rRNA from 1 species